CUCAAAAAAGAAAAAAAAAGAAAGAAAGAAAAGAAAUACUGAGUGUCUUGACACUCCACAAAACAUAAUACUGGUCCAUAUUGAUGAUAUUAUGCUGAUUGGAUUUGAUGAGCAGGAAGUUACAAGUACUUUAGAUGUCUUAAUAAGACAUAUGUGAACCAUAUUGAAGGAGAUAAUACCCACAAAAAGCCAGGGGCUGGUCACCUGAGUGAAGGUUUGGGGAUUCAGUAGUCUGGAGAACACCGAAAUAUCUCCUCCAAGGCAAAAGACCAACUUCUGCAUUUUGUACUACCUACCACAAAGAGGCACAACUCUUGAUAAGCCUUUUUGGGUUUUGGAGGCAACAUGUAUCACAUUUGUGAAUCUACAGAGAUACUUGUAAGGCUUCCUGUUUCACAUGGGACCUGGGACAAAGAAGGCUCUGCUCUAAAUUCAGGCUAUAGUAUAAGCUGCUCUAUCACUUGUCCUUCUGACUCAACAGACCCAAUGAUACUUUAAGUGUGGCAAACAGUUGAUGUAUGUAGCUUCUCAAAAGGAUGAAUAGGAAAAUGACCACCUUGACCUCUAGAAUUUUUGAAUAAAAUCCAUGUCUUCUACAGAUAACUAUUCUCUUUUUGAGAACAGCUUCUGUCUUGCUACCAGGCCUUGGUAGAUACUGAAUGCCUAAUGCUUCCCGUCACAAACUCACCUUGCCAAGAGAUCAGGCAUGUGCACAGUCUAUCAUCAAAUGGACAUGGUAUAUAAGAGAUCAAGUUUGAGUAGGUCUGGAAUAUAUGAGUAGAUUUCAUAACAGGCACUUCAGAUUCCUUUGACACAAACUCCUGUUGCAUUGUGUCCUGUCCUUCACCCCAUGCCUGUGACCUCAUGAACUGCUCCUUAUGACCAGUUUACUGAGGAAAACACUUAGACCUGGUUACAGCUGAACCUAUGCAGUAAGCUGGCAAUACACAAAAGUGGACAGCCUCAGCAUUACAGGGGUGACCCUGGAGUAUGAUGGAGCUGCCUGCCUUGCCUGUAAUGCUUCUGCCAGCAACACCAUCUGUGGACUGACAGAAUGCUUUAUCCACAUUCACAGGAAUCCAGCCAUCAUCUGAGGAAGCAGUUCAUGUCGCAGCAAAGGAAGUUCUGUUCUCACCACAGCCCCUAUCUUCUGGAAGCAGCUGUCGUAAUUGAAAGGGUGCAUUUCUCACCUGCACUGUGGUCCAGGAAACUCAAGUCACCGUCCCCACCAUGUUCUUCCUGACUUCGAAGCAGUCUGGUGACCCCAGGCAGGAACUGACUAGCAUGAGAGUCUUGAUGCAGGAGAAUUUUUGAAGAAAUUCAGAAGCAGAACCGAAAGGAGGAGAGAAGGUGGAGCCACCUCCACCCUGUCCACUAACCUUCAGUGGGAACAGCAGAUGCAACUGGCGGGGCUGAAGGUCAGUGGGAACUCCAGGGCCCCAGAGAAGGCCUGCACCACACUGAGCAGGAUCCAGGAGAGUGGAGAAGGGAGGUCGAGGUCCCUGUUAGAGGAGGGUGUGAAGGGGUCAAGAUGAAGGAGCAGCAGGACCUGAGGCCCUCCCUCUGCACACAGACUUUCUCUGGAAACAGCAGGCAGUGAGAUGGAGUGAGAACUGGAAUAAGGCAAGGAAUAUUGCUGAGAUGGUUCUCAAAUCAAUGGAGAGAGAUGUCCGUGGAUGAAUCACAAAGGGAGGGAAUGGGUGCAAAGGCCUCACUGAGAUCCAAUGACAGCAGAAGCUGCCAGGAUCUGACGUAAACCAGUUUGGUUGAAGUGUUGGGGGAGGCUAUAUGACCACAUUUUGUUUCUAUUGGCACAAUUCCAUACAUGGAAAAUGUCAUGAGACUCAAAAAUGGGUUCAGCAGAAGCUCAAAAAUAUGCUACAAAAUUCAGGAAGAAGCUAAAAUAUUAUCAGAUUAUUUUAUAAAGGACACAACUAGUCAGGAACCUUUUGAAAACACCAGCAUGCAUCAUCCAAAGAAGUAGAAUCCAAUUAAAAAAAAAAAAAAGACUGGGAGGAGUACAUCACAAAGGAGGGUGAGAUUUGGGAAGACAGUUACUCUAAGACCCUGUGAGCAAACUGCACCUGAUUCCAGAAAGACAGUUGGAGUCGAGGAGAGAAUGAAGCAACUUUACUGGCUGGGUUGAAGCCUACCCUAUCAGAACGGAAUAAGGCUAAUGCGGUUAUCAAGGUUCUCUUGAAGGAAAUAAUCCCCUGGUUUGGGUUGCCCCAAAGCCUCCAAAGUGAUAAUCGCUUGUCUUCUGCCUCCCAAAUAACUCAAAGGGUUGCUAAGGCUCUCAGAAUUAAAUACUAUUUACACUCAGCAUGGAGGCCUCAAUCCUCAGGGAAAGUAGAAAGGGCUAAUCAAACUCUAAAACUGGCAUUAGCUAAGCUAUGUCAGGAAACAUCAGAAACUUGGAUCAACUUACUGCCCAUAGCCCUCUUAAGAAACCAUUAUUCUCCAAGAGCAAAAAUUAAUAUAAGCCCAUAUAAAAUGUUAUAUGGGAGGCCAUUUUAACUAAUGAUCUAAUUACUGAUCCAGAAACGGCUGAGUUAAUAAAAUACCUAGUUAACCUAGGACAGUUUCAGCAGGUCUCGCAAGAGUUUGGAACUCAAAGGCUCCCCGCACCAGGAACUAACCAGCAAACCAAGGUCAGGCCAGGAGAUAAGGUACUUGUUAAAACAUGGAAUGAGGAGUCACCUGCUCAACAACUACAACCCUAAUGGAAGGGACUAUUUUCACUGGUGUUGGCCAUGCCUUCCAUGGCCAAAGUACUAGGAUUAGAUAGUUGGAUACCUCUUUCCAGGUUUAAGCCUGCAACAUCUGAAGCCCUGGACCUGGAACCGGAGACUCCCACCAGCCACUAUACCUGUGAACCCGUAGAAGACCUGAACUACCUAUUUAAAAGACAGUCAAAAGAUAAGUAAAUGCCUACCAAUUUUCCCUGGUGUAAAAUGUUAACUGAUUUUUGCUCUCUCACUUACAGAUGUUUGUAUAAGGGUUUCAGCCAAUUUUGGAACAAAAUUCAAAAUCAGGCCAAAAUACUUACCUGUUGUGACUAGAUCAAGCCAGCUGUACCUUUUAUAACCACGUACAAGGCUUGCCGCAACCCAUGGAUACCCACCUAAAUACUUAGGAAUAGAGAGCCAUGAUCCUCAGUAGGCAGGGACAAUGCCCAUGACCAGUAGAAAGUAGCUACAGAAAACUGAUCUUCAGCCCUUUUGCCUCCCAUAAAGAUUUAUGGGGAUCAUAUCUCUCAGAGGGAAAUGAGGCAGGAGAAUAGGGAAUUAGGGUAACCAGGGUUUCAGCUGGUGCAGCCAGUGCCGCAGGGGUGGAAGAACAGCAGGUGCAGCCAGUUCAAAUGAGCAGAAGAACAGCAGGUGCAGCAUAUAGGCCACAUCCUUGCUCCCAUGAUAACAAGCCACUUCAGCCUCCGAUUGGUCUCAGGCCAAUCCUUUAUGAGGUGUGGUCAAUUGGAGGCCUCUGAAGGGCACUGAGAGGUGUUGCCGGGUUUUUUCUUUAAUAAAAACCGUAAUUGAGGGGGCUCUUGAGCAGCCGCUUGCUCAAGCCCAAUCCCACUCUGAAUUUUCUUCAAUAAAUCUGUGCCCACACUGGCAUUUUGUUCAGUUCCUUGCCCAAUACACCAAGAACAGCAGGUGCAGCAUACAGGCCACAUCCUGGCUGGACAACUCACAUUUAGGACACUCUCUCCGGCAACAGGUGACAUCAUCCUCUUAGCCUGUCAAAAUGUUGGUAUUACAGGCAUGAGCUGCCCUGCCUGGCCUAUAACUUUUUUUGCUGAAAAAUAUUCCCUUGUAUGCAGGUAUUACAUUUAGCCAUUCAUCAGCUGGUGGACAUUUGAACUGUUUCCACUUUUGUUUACUAUGAAUAAAGCUGCUAUGAACACCUGUGUAAAGUUUUGCAUAGACAUGUUUUCAUUUCUGUAUAUAUAUCUAA
rnacentral:lncRNA from 1 species